GAUGAAGAACGUAGCGAAAUGCGAUACGUAAUGUGAAUUGCAGAAUUCAGUGAAUCAUCGAAUCUUUGAACGCAUAUUGCGCUCUCUGGUAUUCCGGAGAGCAUGCUUGUUUGAGUAUCAGUAAACACCUCAACUCCCCUUUCUUUUUUUGAAAUGGGAGCUGGACUUGAGUGAUCCCAACGCUUUUCUCACCGAAAAGUGGCGGGUUACUUGAAAUGCAGGUGCAGCUGGACUUUUCUCUGAGCUAAAAGCAUAUCUAUUUAGUCUGCCUAAAAAACAGAUUAUUACCUUUGCUGCAGCUAACAUAAAGGAGAUUAGUUCUUGUGCUGACUGAUGCAGGAUUCACAGAGACAGCUUCGGCUGGCCUUUGUAAACUCGAUCUCAAAUCAAGUAAGACUACCCGCUGAACUUAAGCAUAUCAAUAACGGAGGA
rnacentral:misc_RNA from 1 species